AUCAGCACAUAAAGAACAAGCCUCAGUUCCAGCUGGCAAGGGUGCAGGCAUGGCACAAGCCCCUUACUAGGGCCAGGUUAAACCAAAGCAUGCAUCAGGAUGGUUCUGAUUAAAUGGUUGGAUCAUUUUCCUGUGAGUAGAACCAGUAAGCCUAAGAAAAAAAUUCCAGUUCCCAGUCUGUUGACAGAAUUCAAGAGAUGAUCCAAUCCCUUACAAAUGUCGUUCUUAUUGAAAACACCUUAUCUGCUCCCUCACUCACCACACAGCCCCCUGUAAAAUAAAUUAAGCAUAGAAACUGCAGCCAACUAUUUUAUGAG